CAACGGCCACACCACGUUGAAUAUACCGGUUCUCGUCCGAUCACCGAAGUUAAGCAACGUCG
rnacentral:rRNA from 1 species